rnacentral:lncRNA from 1 species
GUUCAAACAUUUUCAAAUUGACCCAAUCUAUUAUCAAAAAAAGAAACCUUAUUUCCUUUUCGUUCUCGCAAGUCUCCCUCUCAACUUCUAAAACGAACCUUCCUUUCCAGUUGCCAUCGAAGUCUCAGACAUCUCCUUAGUCUUUACAGAAAGCUUCCUUCAAUUGUGGGUUUCUUCAUUUUCGAUUUUAAUAUAUACAUCCCUUGGCAACAUUUUCCAUAGAUCAAUUACCUGUUCUUCCUUUCCCAGAGGUUCUUCAUUUUUAUAUUUAGUCAUUUUACAUUAUUCCUGUUCUGUUUAUUUGAUUACAUUUGAAUUUUUAUUUGUUUCUUCUUCUAGGAUUUAUGCCUUUGUUUUAAUUUGUAGAUUUCUAAUGGAAGUGGUUUUCUUUAAGAAUGAUUAUUCCGAGAUAUAAGGAUUUAUUUUGUGGGUAAUAAAUUGGCACUAGUAUAGAGAUUCUAUACAAGAGUUUUUGUUAACCAUUCUUAUUUUUAUUUUCACUUUCUUCCUCUCACUUUUUGAUUGUUUCAACAGCAAGGUAAACAACAACUUGCUUGAAGAAGAAGUACAUACACCUACCCCACUUUUGACACGGAUGAUCACUGAUGAACCUAUUGAUGGAGGAAGCAUUUGAAUUUGGCAAAGAAUGUAUCUAUUCUGGUGAUGUUCUUUGAGAUGAAUACCUUAUAGAGUUUGUAGCUUGAAAAUGUGAACACUUUUGUUUCUUUGUUAGUAAGAAAAUCUUUUCUAAUCUUUUCCUUCCAAAUUUAAACCAAUUUCCCGACUUUUGAAUAGUAGAUAUAAUGGAUGAAUAGACAUGGUGGAAUGAUUUUUUUUCCUUCCAAAACAACAUGGAUAUAGAUAGUGAAAUUGAAGCAAUUGGUGAAACUCCUUCAACAUCUGUUCCUCCACUUCCACCAUCAUGUUUAGGGAAGAGAAAAAAUAGAAAACACUUCACAAUUAUAGGGAAUUCAAAAGCAGAAGAUGUUAGGUGUACAUGCAACUAUUAUGGGUAGGAUUAUGGUUGUAGGGCUAGGAAGUAUGAGACCGGUACCUUGAAGAAUCAUUUGGUUCUUUAUUGUAAGAAGUAUCCCGAAAGAUUGGAAGAUAAACGACAAACUAAGGGUGGUGUGAACAUUCUAGUUGGCUUUAAUAAGGAAGAGUGCAGGUUUGUAUGUACUAAGAUGAUAAUAUUUGAUGAAUUACCUUUUAGAUUUGUCGAAGGUGAGGGGUUUAGACAAUUUUGUAGGCUAGCAUGUCCUAAAUUUGAUCCUUCAUCUUGUAGAAUUGUUGUUAGAGAUAUUUAUUAGUUGUAGUUGGAUAAAAAAUUGCAAUUUAAAAAGAUCAUCCAACGUUAAAGAGUUUCUCUUACUACUGAUACUUGGAGUUCCAUUCAAAAUAUUAAUUCUAUGUGUCUCACAGCACACUUUGUUGAUUUUGAUUGGAAGCUUCAUAAAUGGAUUUUGGCCUUCCGUGUGAUUGCUAAUCAUAAAGGUAAAACCAUUGGUAAAGUUGAUGAAACUUGUUUGCAUGUAUGGGGUAUUAAGAGAUUAUUUACAAUCAUAGUUGAUAAUGCAACUCUAAAUGAAACAGCUAUUUCUUAUAUUAAGAGGAAGAUGAUUGGUCAAAGUGGUGAUGGGUGUGUUUAGAUGGAAAGUAUCUAUACAUGAGGUGUUGUGCACAUAUUAUUAAUUUGAUUGUGUGUGAGGGGUUGAAGGAAGCACAUGAUUUAAUUGUUAGUAUUCGAAAUGCAAUAAAGUUAAUUAUGUGGAUAGAUGCUUGUUAGAUGCUUGUGAAGAUAUAAAGGACGAUACUUUUGAUGUUUUUAAUUGGUGGAAGGUGAAUGGAAACAAAUAUGGUGCAUUGUCAAAACUUGCAAGAGAUGUAAUGGCUAUUCAAGUGCCUACUAUGGCCUCAGAAAUUGCUUUCAGUACCGAAGGAAGAAUUCUUAAUCCAUUUCAUAGUUCUUUAACUCCUAGGAUGGUGGAAGUUUUGGUGUGUACAGAAAAUUGGAUUAAAGAGUCUACAAGCAUGGAGAAAUUCUAUAUGGAAGAUGUGGAGGAAUAUAAUAAGUUGGAUCAAAGUAAUGUAGCUAUUCCAUGAUUCAUGUUAAAUAUGUAUUUUAUCGAAUUAUUCCUCAUUUAAUUAUUAUUUUUUUGUAGAACUUUUGGAAUCAGAGAAAUCAAAUGAAGGCUAAAUCAAUGUGAUUAGUUCAUUUCUAAAUUUUUGAGGUAGAUAUGUAUUCAAAUGUGCUUUACUCUUUAUUAAUGUAAUAUUUAUCGUUUUUCUCUAACUAUUUCUAUUAUUUGUAUUGUAGGAAUGAUGCUUAAAGCUUACGCGAUAACUCGGAAGUCGUAACAUUUUACCUUAUUAUUUGUUUUAUGAGAAUUUUGAUUUUGGAUUAUUGUAGCAUUUGUAUUCUUAUUUAUUGAGUUUGGAUUACUGUAAUAUUUAAAUUUUCUUUUCAUGCUUGAUGGUUA